rnacentral:rRNA from 1 species
GACGAACGCUGGCAGCGUGCUUAACACAUGCAAGUCGAGCGGUAAGGCCCUUUCGGGGGUACACGAGCGGCGAACGGGUGAGUAACACGUGGGUGACCUGCCCUCAGCUCUGGGAUAAGCCUGGGAAACCGGGUCUAAUACCGGAUAUGACUCCAUGACGCAUGUUGUGGGGUGGAAAGCCUUGUGCGGCUGAGGAUGGGCCCGCGGCCUAUCAGCUUGUUGGUGGGGUGANGGCCUACCAAGGCGACGACGGGUAGCCGGCCUGAGAGGGCGACCGGCCACACUGGGACUGAGACACGGCCCAGACUCCUACGGGAGGCAGCAGUGGGGAAUCUUGCGCAAUGGGCGAAAGCCUGACGCAGCGACGCCGCGUGAGGGAUGACGGCCU